rnacentral:rRNA from 1 species
UACGGAGGAUGCGAGCGUUAUCCGGAUUUAUUGGGUUUAAAGGGUGCGUAGGCGGCUUUUUAAGUCAGCGGUGAAAUUUUGCAGCUUAACUGUAACAGUGCCGUUGAUACUGGGGAGCUAGGAUUUGGUUGCUGUGGGUGGAAUGUGUGGUGUAGCGGUGAAAUGCUUAGAGAUCACACAGAAUAUCGAUUGCGAAGGCAGCUCACAAAGCCAAGAUUGACGCUGAGGCACGAAAGUGUGGGGAUAAAACAGGAUUAGA